GCUGGGCAUGGUGGCACAUGCCUGUAAUCCCAGCUACUCAGGAGGCUGAGGCAGGAGAAUCACUUGAACCUGGGAGGUGGAGGAUGCGGUGAGCUGACACUGCACCACUGCAUUCCAGCCUGGGCAACAAAGUGAGACCCUGUCUCAA
ensembl:misc_RNA Metazoa_SRP Metazoan signal recognition particle RNA